CAGGCAUUGGGCCCCAUAGCCUCUGUGGGCCGCACAUGCUGCAUUCCCGCCAUGCUCGGCGCCCUCGGAGGCCAGGCUAGCGCCCGCGCAUUGCUUGUGGACUACACUUCCCGGCAUGCCCCGCUGCCCAUGGAGGCAGAGCGGCCUCCCAGCAUGCACCAGGUGUGCCCGGCCCGGCCGGGGUAUAGGCGCGGCUGCGGGCAGUGCCCCACGUGGGGCCAGUGGCGCAAUGGAUAACGCGUCUGACUACGGAUCAGAAGAUUCCAGGAGGGGAAAGCUGAGCCCCAAGGAUUGAGGUCCCCAGUCGCUGACUGGAGCCCCCCUGAAUAUGGACAUGGGACUAGACCCUCUGGGCUGUUCCUAAAGGGAUUUUUGGCAGCUACAAGCUCCUCUCUGCUGUGUCUGAGCCUCAGGAACUGAAUUCCCGUCUGUCUGUAGAUUGCUUUGUAACCAGCACUCCCUGGCUUUUCUCGUGUAACACAGAGAACCGGCUCUAAGUGUGGGUUUGGGUCAGAGCGAAGUUAGAACUGGACCUGGCUGUGUGGCUGAUCCUUCGGGGCUGGAAGAACCUUCUGUUCUACGACAAGAGAAGAUUUUCAGGAAUCACCAUACUUUAGUUUAGCUGUGUGACUGAGGUGUGGAUGGACGAUGGACUCAACCUCCAGCCCCAGCCUGUCCUGAUGAAAUCGAGUUCAAACCCCCCCGGCUGAAGAUGCAGACAAGAGCCCUAACGAAGUAAGACGUAUCCACCCUAAACAGAAAAGGUGCAAUAGAAGGAA